rnacentral:rRNA from 1 species
CAAUAGCGUAUAUUAAAGUUGUUGCAGUUAAAAAGCUCGUAGUUGGAUUUGUGGCGUACGACGGGCUCCGGGCACUUGUUGUCUGAGUAGCUUGUCGUUGCCAUCCUUGGGUGGAACCUGUGUGGCAUUAGGUUGUCGUGCAGGGGAUGCCCAUCUUUUACUGUGAAAAAAUUAGAGUGUUCAAAGCAGGCUUAUGCCGUUGAAUAUAUUAGCAUGGAAUAAUAAGAUAGGACUUUGUCGCUAUUUUGUUGGUUUGCGCGAUAAGGUAAUGAUUAAUAGGGACAGUUGGGGGUAUUCGUAUUCCAUUGUCAGAGGUGAAAUUCUUGGAUUUUUGGAAGACGAACUACUGCGAAAGCAUUUACCAAGGAUGUUUUCAUUAA